ACAAGAGCUGAGCGGAAGCCAGGUCAAGGGUGGUGCUGAUCAUUGUGACUUCCCUGAUGAAGUUGAAGAACUCUUUCAUCAAUCUACCAACAGCCCUUACCAACGAGCUUGACUGGCCCCAACUCUCUGGUGCUACAGGAUUUCUGGACUCCACUGUUGGAAUUAAAGAAAAAUCUAUUUACCUUCGCUUAUGGAAAAGAAACCACUGUAAUCACAGGGACUACCAGAAUAUUUCAAGAAAUGGUGCAUCUUCCCGAAACCUGAAGAAAUUUAUAGAAAGCUUGUCUAGAAACAAGAUGUUGGACUAUCCCACCAUCGUUAUAUAUGCCAUGAUUGGAAAUGAUGUCUGCAGUGGGAAGAGUGACCCAGUCCCAGCCAUGACCACUCCUGAGAAACUCUACUCCAACAUCAUGCAGACUCUGAAGCAUCUAAAUUCCCACCUGCCCAAUGGCAGCCAUGUUAUUUUGUAUGGCUUACCAGAUGGAACCUUUCUCUGGGAUAAUUUGCACAACAGAUAUCAUCCUCUCGGCCAGCUAAAUAAAG
rnacentral:sRNA from 1 species